GUCGUCCUACGGGGGGCAGCAGUGAGGAAUAUUGGUCAAUGGCCGUAAGGCUGAACCAGCCACGUCGCGUGAAGGAAGAAGGAUCUAUGGUUUGUAAACUUCUUUUAUAGGGGAAUAAAGGUAUCCACGUGUGGAUAUUUGCAUGUACCCUAUGAAUAAGCAUCGGCUAACUCCGUGCCAGCAGCCGCGGUAAUACGGAGGAUGCGAGCGUUAUCCGGAUUUAUUGGGUUUAAAGGGUGCGUAGGCGGGCUUUUAAGUCAGCGGUAAAAAUUCGGGGCUCAACCCCGUCCGGCCGUUGAAACUGG
rnacentral:rRNA from 1 species